rnacentral:rRNA from 1 species
GAUGAACGCUGGCGGCGUGCCUAAUACAUGCAAGUCGAGCGAACGGAUGAGAAGCUUGCUUCUCUGAUGUUAGCGGCGGACGGGUGAGUAACACGUGGAUAACCUACCUAUAAGACUGGGAUAACUUCGGGAAACCGGAGCUAAUACCGGAUAAUAUUUUGAACCGCAUGGUUCAAAAGUGAAAGACGGUCUUGCUGUCACUUAUAGAUGGAUCCGCGCUGCAUUAGCUAGUUGGUAAGGUAACGGCUUACCAAGGCAACGAUGCAUAGCCGACCUGAGAGGGUGAUCGGCCACACUGGAACUGAGACACGGUCCAGACUCCUACGGGAGGCAGCAGUAGGGAAUCUUCCGCAAUGGGCGAAAGCCUGACGGAGCAACGCCGCGUGAGUGAUGAAGGUCUUCGGAUCGUAAAACUCUGUUAUUAGGGAAGAACAUAUGUGUAAGUAACUGUGCACAUCUUGACGGUACCUAAUCAGAAAGCCACGGCUAACUACGCG